GGGGUGAGGGUGGCGAGUCAGGGCAGGGGGCUCGUGGGGCCGGCACCAUGCCGUGCCUCAGUUUCCCCUCCUGGCAUUGUGGCAGAUACUGCCCAUAGUACUGGGCUUGGCCAGGGGGACAGGGACGCUGUGCCCCCCUGCACCUGCCACCCAGCCCUGCAGCCGUGGCUCAGCCCAGGAGUGGCUCAGCUGGAAUUCAGACAGAGCUGGACACAACCAAUGAGCCCAAUGUCAGCCCAGGACGACAAGCCUGGGGAGGGAGUGGCCGUUUGCAGGCUGUCCCGGUGACAGUGCCCCACAUCCCAACUGUGUCCUCGGGAUGGGCUCUGGAAGGGGCCAUGGGAAGGGGACAUUCAGCUGUGGGUGGCCUUGAAGGACAGCUGGAUGGCUGGUUGUGAGCUGGGUGGUUGGUGGCCUGCUGGCAGUGAGUGGAUGGCAGUGGAUGGGUGGCUGCUGAGUUGGUUGCCUGGCUGGCCAGUUGGCCACAUGACUGCCUGGCUGGCUCAUUGGCUAGACGGCUGGUUGGCACCAGUCAGGCUGUCUGUCCAGCUGUCUGUCCGCUUGUCUGGCCAGCUUUGCAGUUGGCUGGUGGUCCCAGGGGCUGCCUAGCUGGCCAUGGCAGCCCUGGCCCCGGGACCAGCAACAUCCCAGCGUGUCCCACCCCAGCACCUGGCACUGUCCCUUGCCCAGCGGGGGGAGCCCGGCCGCGGGCAGGGGGAGGCCGAGGUGUGGGUGGCACAUCCGCCGUCCCUGUCCCCGUCACGCUGCCUCUCAUUACGGACACGGCGGGGCCCGUCACCCUCCCACCGAGCGGCAAUUAAGGGCUGACAACACCGGCAGCUAAUUAGCGCCAGCGACCCAGCACCAGGCACUGACGGUGACUCUGUGUGACAAUCCACGGGAGCUGCAGUGACGCUGCGUGGCACCCGGCGGCCCCACAGUGACAGUGACACCCUGUGCACUGCGCGGUGACAGUGACACCAUGUGACACUCCAGGGAGCAACAGUGAAGCUGUGCAACACCGCAGGGCUGCGCAGCAGCUCCGUGUGACACGAGUGGGGCUGUGCAGCCACGGUGACACUGUGUGACACCCCAGGGAGGUGUGCAGUGACACUGACACUGUGCCACACCCCGGGGGCCAUGCAGUGACAGUGACACCUGUGACAACAGACGCCAUGCGGUGACACUGAUGACACCAGUGCCGUGUAGUGACACCACGCUCGCCCCCUCCCGCCUGUUCCCCUUUGUGGGUAUUGAGGCACCCACCCAGUUCCCACGUGGGGACAUCACCCUGUAACUGCAGCCUCGUGGGGGACUGUCCCCACCCCCUGCCCCAGCGGAGGUCCCAUGGUGGGUGCACCAAGGAAGGGGGGGCUCUAGGAACGGGGUACAGCAGGGAAGGGGUGCUCUGAGGAAGGGGUUACCCCAGGGAGGGAGUGCGCUGUGGAGGGGGGACACUAAAGACGGGAUGCUCCAGGGAUGGAGCUCCAAGAAAGGGAGGUUUCAGGAAUGGGGUGUCCCAGGAAGGGGAUGCUCUGAAGAAGGGGUGCAGCCGAGAGGGGGUGCCCCAGGAAGGGGGUGCUCCAGGUAGGGCUGCUCCGGUUCAUAAGGGGGUGCAGGAGCAGGGGGUGCAGCAGGAGGAGUGUCCGUCUGUCACGAGCCCCCGCCAGCCGCAGCAGAAUCGAUCCGGCCGCCAAUUUGCACAGUCAAAUAUUUGGCUUCGCGGCGCGGGGCCGGCUCUGCUCGAGCCGCCCCGGUGGGCGCAGGCCCGCGGUGACGGUGGCGGCUGCUCCGCGAUCGAUGGUGGGAUGUGAGGAGAGCUGGGGCGGCCCCAGCGAGCGGGGCCGGGGCUGGGGCCCUGGUGCAGCACCCGAGAUCCUCCAUCAGCACCCACGGGCCUUGGGAGCCCAUGUGGAGCCCGCUCGUCUGUGCUCACCUGUGCCACGAGCGCAGGGGCUCAGCCAGGGUGUCCUCCAGGCCCCCCCGAUCACCGCUGCCACCCAGCCCAGGGAGCUGAGCCAUCUGUCACCGGCAGGGGAUGGCUGAGGCUCGGCCACACGGCCACAGGUGUCCCCGAGGGGGUUGGGCAGGAGUGGGACUGGCGGUGCUGAGGCGAUCGUGGGGCAGCUCCCACGGAUUGGCAUCACACAGCUCCCAUGGACACAGCUCCAGAGCCCUUUCCCCGUGGGUGCCAACGCCUGGACCCGCAGCCCAGGCAGGCGGCUCAGCCCAGGGCUCUGCAGCAGGCUCCCCCGGCAGCCCUGUGCCUCACCGUGCCCCCAGAUCCGCUCGCUCCCUCGGCCCCGCUAAACUCGUUAGCGGCGGCCGAACGUCAGCCGGGCGGGAGCGAAGCGCCAAAUGCGAUUACGGCCCCGUCUGCUCCGUCCUUCCACCCCCGGCCCCAUUUAUCGCGGAGGCGGGCGGGAGGGAGGCGGAACUGGCGCUUAUCUCGGCCGAGAAAUCCCGCUCUGGCUCUGAUUUAUGGCUGGCUGCGAGGGGCUCCAGCGGCACUGCACAAUUAUGGAGCAUUUAGAGCACGAAGAGGUCAGCGCUCAAGCACGGCUCCCCCAGCACAGCUGGAAGGGUCGGGGUAGCCAGGUGGAUGCUCCAGCCCAGGGAUGCUCCCUGGGGUUGCACAGGGACCACCAGGUCUCUCCAGGUGGGUGAGACAUGGGACUUGUGGGUGCUCAGGGGAGGACGGGGAUGGAAGAAUGCCUGGCUCCAAAAAGAGGCACGUGCUGGCUGGGGACACCCUGGGAAGGUCCUGUGUCUAAAGGAUGGCGCAGGGGACAGGCAGGACACUGCCUCACAGGACCGAGGCCAGGCAGGAGGGUGGGAGCACCCUGGAGGAUCCCAGGCAUCACCAUGUGCAGGAAGGGGGCCAGGGGCUCACAGCACCCCCUUUUCUCCCAGUGUGGGGAUAAGCAGUGGCAGUGGGGACAGGGGUACCCCAGAGGGAACCUGCUGGGCACAGAGACCCACUGCAGCUCCAGGAUCAUAUCCCAGCAAGCCAGACCCACCCUGUGGGGUGCCCAGCGCCAACACUGAGGCACAGCCCUCCCAAGGAAGGUCAUGGCAGGCCUGUUGCUCCAAGCAGCUCCUGGAGCAGCUCAGGGAUGUUUACUGGGAAAAGCAGGAGCAGCCAGCAGCUCUUCCUGCGUGUGCUGAACUUUACAGAGCGCAGCCGUGCCCCGGCAUAGGAACAACCUGGGAGCAGGCUGGGAAGAGCCAGGGGAGCAGUCGUGGGAUGCGGAGCAGCUGCUGUUCAGUGUUUUAUUAAAACAAAAGUGAAGACCCAGCACCCGCCUUGCCCAGGCUCAACUCUCCCACUGGGAAAGUGCUGCUGAAGGAAGCUCAAACAGAAGGAAAUGAGUUUGAAGGAGGUCAGGUCUCAGCCUGCUCCAGUGUGGAUCAGACCCUUGGAUCUGAAGCCAAGGGUGACCCAUGAGUGAUGGCCACAGAAACAGAGGGCAGGGAAGAAGAGCCCCCAGCUGAACAGCUGAUUCAUGUGAACGAGGUGCUGUCCUCCCCCCACCAAUGAUUUAAUGAAUUUCCAUUAAAUCAACAUGAAAGAGGGGAAAUCCCAAACCUAAAUCUGGAUUAGGAGGGUUGAGCUAUGAGGAAUCACCCAGGGAACACUGGAGGCAAUUACAGGGCCUGAGAAGGCACCCAGCCCUAGGGAGGAGAUUGUCCAGGAAGACAUUAAAGUGAGAUUGUACCCGAUUAAAGUGAGACUGUCCCAGAAUAAAGUGAUAUUGUCCCAGA